UGCGAGCGUUGUCCGUAUUUAUUGGGCGUAAAGGCUUCGUAGGUGGGUGAUCGCGUCGGAAGUGUAAUCUUGGGGCUCAACCCUGAGCGUGCUUUCGAUACGGGUUGACUUGAGGAAGGUAGGGGAGAAUGGAAUUCCUGGUGGAGCGGUGGAAUGCGCAGAUAUCAGGAGGAACACCAGUGGCGAAGGCGGUUCUCUGGGCCUUUCCUGACGCUGAGGAGCGAAAGCGUGGGGAGCGAACAGGCUUAGAUACCCUGGUAGUCCACGCUGUAAACGGUGGGUACUAGGUGUGGGGUCCAUUCCACGGGUUCCGUGCCGUAGCUAACGCUUUAAGUACCCCGCCUGGGGAGUACGGCCGCAAGGCUAAAACUCAAAGGAAUUGCGGGGCCCCGCACAAGCGGCGGAGCAUGCGGAUUAAUUCGAUGCAACGCGUAGAACCUUACCUGGGUUUGACAUGGAUCGGGAGUGCUCAGAGAUGGGUGUGCCUCUUUUGGGGUCGGUUCACAGGUGGUGCAUGGCUGUCGUCAGCUCGUGUCGUGAGAUGUUGGGUUAAGUCCCGCAACGAGCGCAACCCUUGUUCACUGUUGCCAGCACGUUAUGGUGGGGACUCAGUGGAGACCGCCGGGGUCAACUCGGAGGAAGGUGGGGAUGACGUCAAGUCAUCAUGCCCCUUAUGUCCAGGGCUUCACGCAUGCUACAAUGGCUGGUACAGAGAGUGGCGAGCCUGUGAGGGUGAGCGAAUCUCGGAAAGCCGGUCUCAGUUCGGAUUGGGGUCUGCAACUCGACCUCAUGAAGUCGGA
rnacentral:rRNA from 1 species